GACGAACGCUGGCGGCGUGCUUAACACAUGCAAGUCGAACGGAAAGGCCUGCUUUCCCUUGUGGAUUGCGGGUACUCGAGUGGCGAACGGGUGAGUAACACGUGAGUGAUCUGCCCCCAACUUUGGUAUAAGCCUGGGAAACUGGGUCUAAUUCCCGAUAGGACUGCAGGGUGGUGCCUGUGGUGGAAAACGAUUUUCUAGUGGUUGGGGAUGAGCUCGCGGCCUAUCAGCUUGUUGGUGGGGUAAUGGCCUACCAAGGCGGCGACGGGUAGCCGGCCUGAGAGGGUGGACGGCCACAUUGGGACUGAGAUACGGCCCAGACUCCUACGGGAGGCAGCAGUGGGGAAUAUUACACAAUGGGCGGAAGCCUGAUGCAGCGACGCCGCGUGGGGGAUGACGGCCUUCGGGUUGUAAACUCCUUUCGACCGCGAGGAAGCCACCUGGUUGGAAGGGUGGUGACGGUAGUGGUAGAAGAAGCACCGGCUAACUACGUG
rnacentral:rRNA from 1 species